UGUGGGUAGGGGUGAAAGGCCAAUCAAACUGGGAAAUAGCUCGUACUCCCCGAAAUGCAUUUAGGUGCAGCGUUUGCGAUAUUAUGUCAUGGAGGUAGAGCUACCAAUAGGGCUAGGGGGCUUCACCGCCUACCAACCCCUGAUGAACUCCGAAUGCCAUGACAUGUAGCAAGCAGUGAGGCGUUGGGUGCGAAGGUCCAGCGCCGAGAGGGAAACAACCCAGACCAUCAGCUAAGGUCCCCAAGUAUUAACUAAGUUGAAUGAACGAGGUGGGAAUGCUAUGACAGCUAGGAUGUUGGCUUGGAAUCAGCCAUUCAUUUAAAGAGUGCGUAACAGCUCACUAGUCGAGCGUUCCUGCGCGGAAAAUAAUCGGGCAUCAAGUUAAUCACCGAAGCUAUGGAUUGAUAUUUAUAUCAAUGGUAGGGGAGCAUUCCAGUGUUACAGAAGGUGUACUGUGAGGUAUGCUGGAGAUACUGGAAAAGCAAAUGUAGGCAUGAGUAACGAUAAAUGAGGUGAGAUACCUCAUCGCCGUAAGACUAAGGUUUCCUAGUUCGAUGUUAAUCAGAACAGGGUUAGUCGGGUCCUAAGGUGUAGCCGACAGGCGAAGCCGAUGGCAAACGGGUUAAUAUUCCCGUACCUGCU
rnacentral:rRNA from 11 species